rnacentral:rRNA from 1 species
GACGAACCGUGCGAACGUUGUUCGGAUUCACUGGGCUUAAAGGGCGCGUAGGCGGGUGAUCAAGUCCGGGGUGAAAUCCUCCAGCUUAACUGGAGAAUAGCCCUGGAUACUGGUCGUCUUGAGGAAGGUAGGGGCAUGUGGAACUUCCGGUGGAGCGGUGAAAUGCGUAGAUAUCGGAAGGAACGCCGGUGGCGAAAGCGACGUGCUGGACCUUUUCUGACGCUGAGACGCGAAAGCUAGGGGAGCGAACGGG